rfam:Solanum tuberosum cultivar DM 1-3 516 R44 scf00451_49, whole genome shotgun sequence.
UGGUCUACAGGGUUCAUAAUUACUCCGCAUAUUAAUAAGCGGAGGUAAAGAAACUUACAAGAUUCCCUUAGUAACAGCGAGUGAACCGGGAACAGCCCAGCCUUAGAAUCGGGCGGCUCCGUCGUCUAAAUUAUAGUCUGGAGAAGUGUCCUCAGCGGCAGACCGGGCCCAAGUCCCUUGGAAGGGGGCACCAAAGACGGUGAGAGCCCCAUUAUGCCCGAACCCUGUCGCACCACGAGGCGCUGUCUACAAGUCAAGUUGUUUGGAAAUACAGCCCAAAUCGGGCGGUGAAUUCCGUCCAACGCUAAAUACGGGCGAGAGACCGAUAGCGAACAAGUACUUCAAGGGAAAGAUGAAAUGGACUUUGAAAAAAUUGUCAAAGAGUGCUUGAAAUUGUCGGGAGGGAAGCGGAUGGGAACUGGCGAUGUUCCCCGGUCGGAUGUGGAACGGUGAAGAACCUAUCCGCCGAUCGACUCGGGGAGUGGACCAGCGUGGAUUGGGGGGAGACCAAAGCCCGGGCUCUCGAUACGCCCUUGGAACACGGUCUCCUUGAUUAUGGUAGGCAGUGCACGCCUCUGGAGUGCUUCGAUAUCUGCGCGCUCUGGACGCUGGCCUGUGGGCUCCCCAUUCAACCCGUCUUGAAACACGGACCAAGGAGUCUGACAUCUGUGCGAGUCAACGGGCGAGUAAACCCGUAAGGCGUAAGGAAGCAUAUUGGUGGGAUCCUCCUGAAGGGUGCACCGCCGAUCGACUGUGAUCUUCUGAAAAGGGUUCGAGUGUGAGCAUACCUGUCUGGACUCGAAAGAUAGUGAACUAUGCUUGAACGGGGCGAAGCCAGAGGAAACUCUAGGGGAGGCCCGCAACGAAAAUGACGUGCAAAUAGUUCAUCUGACUUGGCUAUAGGGGCGAAAGACUAAUCGAACCGUCUAGUAGCUGGUUCCCUCUAAGGUUUCCCUCAGGAUACCUGGAGGUUGCGUGCGAGUUCUAUCGGGUAAAGCCAUUGAUUAGAGGCCUUGGAGGCGCAACGCCCUUGACCUAUUCUCAAAGUUUAAAUAAGUUGGACAGCGCGACUGCUUUAUUGAGCCGCACCACAGAAUCAAGGGCUCGAAGUGGGCCAUUUUUGGUAAGCAGAACUGGCGAUGCGAGAUGAAGUGGAUACCGGGUUACGUUGCCAAACUGUGCGCUAACCUAGAUCUUACAAAGGGUGUUGGUCGAUUAAGACAGUUGGACGGUGGUCAUGGAAGUGGAAAUCCCCUAAGGAGUGUGUAACAACUCACCUGCCGAAUCAACUAGCCCCGAAAAUGGGUGUCGCUUAAGCACGCGACCUACACCCGACCGUCGGGGCAAGUGCCAGGCCCCGAUGGUUAGGAGGGUGCGGCGGUCACUGCAAAACCUUGCCGGAGAGGCCGUCGGUGUAGAUCUUGGUGGUAGUAGCAAAUAUUCAAAUGAGAACUUUGAAGGCCGAAAAGGGGAAAGUCCGACGUCCUAACCCGUCGAUGU